rnacentral:rRNA from 1 species
AUCACCCCGGAAGUCCUUUGCGGAGCGAGGGGGCGAUUGAAGAAGCAGAGCAGCCCAGUUUUGGGGUUGUCCGGUGCAUGUUCGACGGCCCGUGAAAAUCCAAAGGGCGGCAUCAUUUUGCCUCUGGCCGUACUGAUAACCGCAACAGGUCUCCAAGAUGAAAAGUCUCUAGUCAAUAGAAGAAUGUAGAUAAGGGAAGUCGGCAAAAUAGAUUCGUAACUUUGGGAUAAGAAUUGGCUCUGAGGGUGUGGUUGUUUGGCGGUUGGGGUGUGUUUGUGUGGG